UACGUAGGGUGCAAGCGUUGUCCGGAAUUAUUGGGCGUAAAGAGCUCGUAGGCGGUCUGUCGCGUCGGCUGUGAAAUCCCGAGGCUCAACCUCGGGUCUGCAGUCGAUACGGGCAAACUAGAGUAUUGCAGGGGAGACUGGAAUUCCUGGUGUAGCGGUGAAAUGCGCAGAUAUCAGGAGGAACACCGGUGGCGAAGGCGGGUCUCUGGGCAAUAACUGACGCUGAGGAGCGAAAGCGUGGGGAGCGAACAGG
rnacentral:rRNA from 2 species